CCUACGGGAGGCAGCAGUGGGGAAUAUUGCACAAUGGGCGCAAGCCUGAUGCAGCCGUGCCGCGUGUGUGAAGAAGGCCUUCGGGUUGUAAAGCACUUUCAGCGGGGAGGAAGGCGUUAAGGUUAAUAACCUUGGCGAUUGACGUUACCCGCAGAAGAAGCACCGGCUAACUCCGUGCCAGCAGCCGCGGUAAUACGGAGGGUGCAAGCGUUAAUCGGAAUUACUGGGCGUAAAGCGCACGCAGGCGGUCUGUCAAGUCGGAUGUGAAAUCCCCGGGCUCAACCUGGGAACUGCAUUCGAAACUGGCAGGCUAGAGUCUUGUAGAGGGGGGUAGAAUUCCAGGUGUAGCGGUGAAAUGCGUAGAGAUCUGGAGGAAUACCGGUGGCGAAGGCGGCCCCCUGGACAAAGACUGACGCUCAGGUGCGAAAGCGUGGGGAGCAAACAGGAUUAGAUACCCUAGUAGUC
rnacentral:rRNA from 1 species